GGAAUAUUGGACAAUGGGGGCAACCCUGGUCCAGCCAUGCCGCGUGUGUGAAGAAGGCUUUCGGGUUGUAAAGCACUUUCAGUGAGGAGGAAAACCUUGCGACUAAUACUCGUAAGGCUUGACGUCACUCACAGAAGAAGCACCGGCUAACUCCGUGCCAGCAGCCGCGGUAAUACGGAGGGUGCAAGCGUUAAUCGGAAUUACUGGGCGUAAAGCGAGUGUAGGCGGCUACGUAAGUCGGUUGUGAAAUCCCCGGGCUUAACCUGGGAAUUGCGAUCGAUACUGCGUAGCUAGAGUCUGAUAGAGGGAAGUGGAAUUCCAGGUGUAGCGGUGAAAUGCGUAGAUAUCUGGAGGAACAUCAGUGGCGAAGGCGGCUUCCUGGAUCAAGACUGACGCUCAGGCUCGAAAGCGUGGGUAGCA
rnacentral:rRNA from 1 species